AUUGAACGCUGGCGGCAGGCCUAACACAUGCAAGUCGAGCGAGCGGCGGACGGGUGAGUAAUGUCUGGGGACUGCCCGAUAGAGGGGGAUAACUACUGGAAACGGUGGCUAAUACCGCAUACUAUCGGAUAACCCAUAUUGGAUUAGCUAGGAGGUGGGGUAAAGGCUCACCUAGGCGACGAUCUCUAGCUGGUCUGAGAGGAUGAUCAGCCACGCUGGGACUGAUACACGGCCCAGACUCCUACGGAGGAAGCAGUGGGGAAUAUUGCAAAUUGGGCGCAAGCCUGAUGCAGCCAUGCCGCGUGUAUGAAGAAGGCCUUAGGGUUGUAAAGUACUUGCAGCGAGGAGGCGUUACCCACAGAAGAAGCACCGGCUAACGCCGUGCCAGCAGCCGCGGUAAUUC
rnacentral:rRNA from 1 species